rnacentral:rRNA from 1 species
UACAGAGGUCCCGAGCGUUGUUCGGAUUCAUUGGGCGUAAAGGGUGCGUAGGCGGUUUGCUAAGUUUGAUGUGAAAUCCCGGGGCUCAACCCUGGAAUUGCAUUGAAUACUGGCGGACUAGAGUCCUGGAGAGGAAACUGGAAUUUACGGUGUAGCAGUGAAAUGCGUAGAUAUCGUAAGGAAGACCAGUGGCGAAGGCGAGUCUCUGGACAGUUACCGACGCUGAGGCACGAAGGCCAGGGGAGCAAACGGG